UUAGAAGCUUGCUUCUAUGACGUUAGCGGCGGACGGGUGAGUAACACGUGGGCAACCUGCCUGUAAGACUGGGAUAACUUCGGGAAACCGAAGCUAAUACCGGAUAGGAUCUUCUCCUUCAUGGGAGAUGAUUGAAAGAUGGUUUCGGCUAUCACUUACAGAUGGGCCCGCGGUGCAUUAGCUAGUUGGUGAGGUAACGGCUCACCAAGGCAACGAUGCAUAGCCGACCUGAGAGGGUGAUCGGCCACACUGGGACUGAGACACGGCCCAGACUCCUACGGGAGGCAGCAGUAGGGAAUCUUCCGCAAUGGACGAAAGUCUGACGGAGCAACGCCGCGUGAGUGAUGAAGGCUUUCGGGUCGUAAAACUCUGUUGUUAGGGAAGAACAAGUACGAGAGUAACUGCUCGUACCUUGACGGUACCUAACCAGAAAGCCACGGCUAACUACGUGCCAGCAGCCGCGGUAAUACGUAGGUGGCAAGCGUUAUCCGGAAUUAUUGGGCGUAAAGCGCGCGCAGGCGGUUUCUUAAGUCUGAUGUGAAAGCCCACGGCUCAACCGUGGAGGGUCAUUGGAAACUGGGGAACUUGAGUGCAGAAGAGAAAAGCGGAAUUCCACGUGUAGCGGUGAAAUGCGUAGAGAUGUGGAGGAACACCAGUGGCGAAGGCGGCUUUUUGGUCUGUAACUGACGCUGAGGCGCGAAAGCGUGGGGAGCAAACAGGA
rnacentral:rRNA from 1 species